UACGGAGGGAGCAAGCGUUACUCGGAAUUAUUGGGCGUAAAGGGCGCGUAGGCGAUCUGACAAGUCUGGUGUGAAAGCCCACAUGUUAACUGUGGAAGUGCAUUAGAAACUGUUGGAUUUGAGUUCAGGAGAGGAAGGCAGAAUUCCCGGUGUAGCGGUGAAAUGCGUAGAGAUCGGGAGGAAUACCAGUGGCGAAGGCGGCAUCCUGGACCGGCAUUGACGCUGAGGCGCGAAAGCCAGGGGAGCAAACGGG
rnacentral:rRNA from 1 species